rnacentral:sRNA from 1 species
GACUUGACGCUCUGCAAAAUGUUGGGA